AGAGGAAGAAGUUAUCUUAUGACUAGAAAAUAUAUAUAUAUAUAUAUAUAUAUAAUAUUAAAAGUGAGAGCACGGGUCGGAGCAAACAAUAAAACCCUAAUUAACAAUCAAAGCCACCUGAUAGAGAUGAGAAACACAUUGAUGUUGUCGGACCUUCCAGGAGAUUUGUUAGAGGAGAUACUUUGUCGCGUUCCUGCCACAUCUCUGAAGCAGUUACGAUCUACUUGCAAACAAUGGAACAAUUUAUUCAACAAUGGGAGAUUCACAAGAAAACACUUGGAUAAAGCCCCAAAGGAUUUUCAGAAUCUCAUGUUGAGCGACUCUAGGGUAUUUUCGAUGAGUGUCAGU
rnacentral:sRNA from 1 species